rnacentral:rRNA from 1 species
UAAUUGAAGAGUUUGAUCAUGGCUCAGAUUGAACGCUGGCGGCAGGCCUAACACAUGCAAGUCGAGCGGUAACAGGGGAAGCUUGCUUCUCGCUGACGAGCGGCGGACGGGUGAG